rnacentral:miRNA from 1 species
UGGAUUGGUCAAGAGAACCGCA